rnacentral:snoRNA from 1 species
GGCCUGAUGCCACGUCACUGUUAGCCACGAGCGUUGAGCAGUGAUGCUAUGAUUAGGCCGAGACAGAGCUGAUUCUGGCGUCUCACAAGUUGAUAGGAACCUGGGGACUGUUCUUUCAUCGGUCCACAGAGCCGGUUUUCUGUGAUUACAUUC